CGGACUUGAGCUUCUGUCGGACUUCUGAAAGUAUGUCUAGAUCGACUCUCCGACGCUCUGAAUUGCUUGGCUCAUUGUAUUGUUCUACCCUUGCUGAUGGUAAUCUAAUCUUAAGUGGAAUCAUCGCUUCUGUUUCAUAAGCAAGAUUGAAUGGCAAUUCUUCCAUUGGUAUGCGAGUUGUUCGAUAUGCCCAUAGGAUCGGAUACAGUUCUUUCACCCAAAGAUCUUUAGCUUCAUUCAGUCGGAUUUUGAGUCUAUGCAAGAUUGUUUGGUUUGUCACUUUCACUUCACCAUU
rnacentral:lncRNA from 1 species